GUGCCUGCCGCCGCGGUAAUACGUAGGUAGCGAGCGUUGUCCGGAUUUACUGGGCGUAAAGGAUGUGUAGGCGGAUAUUUAAGUGAGAUGUGAAAUCCCCGGGCUUAACUUGGGGGCUGCAUUUCAAACUGGGUUUCUUGAGUGCAGGAGAGGCAAGCAGAAUUCCUAGUGUAGCGGUGAAAUGCGUAGAGAUUAGGAGGAAUACCAGUGGCGAAGGCGGCUUUCUGGACAGUAACUGACGCUGA
rnacentral:rRNA from 1 species